UAAGACGUAGGAUGCAAGCGUUGUUCGGAAUUAUUGGGCGUAAAGCGUGCGUAGGCGGCUUGUUAAGUCUGGUGUGAAAGCUAGGGGCUCAACCCCUGUGUUGCACUGGAAACUGGCAGGCUUGAGUGCGGUAGGGGAAGGUGGAAUUCCGAGUGUAGCGGUGAAAUGCGUAGAUAUUCGGAAGAACACCGGUGGCGAAGGCGACCUUCUGGGCCGCCACUGACGCUGAGGCACGAAAGCGUGGGGAGCAAACGGGAUUAGAUACCCCGGUAGUCCACGCUGUAAACGAUGGUCACUAGGUGUUGCGGGUAUCGACCCCCGCAGUGCCGUAGCUAACGCGUUAAGUGACCCGCCUGGGGAGUACGGUCGCAAGACUGAAACUCAAAUGAAUUGACGG
rnacentral:rRNA from 1 species